GUAGGUAACCUGCCUGGUAGCGGGGGAUAACUAUUGGAAACGAUAGCUAAUACCGCAUAAGAGUAGAUGUUGCAUGACAUUUGCUUAAAAGGUGCAAUUGCACCACUACCAGAUGGACCUGCGUUGUAUUAGCUAGUUGGUGAGGUAACGGCUCACCAAGGCGACGAUACAUAGCCGACCUGAGAGGGUGAUCGGCCACACUGGGACUGAGACACGGCCCAGACUCCUACGGGAGGCAGCAUG
rnacentral:rRNA from 1 species